AAUGAACGCUGGCGGCAUGCCUUACACAUGCAAGUCGAACGGCAGCAUGACCUAGCUUGCUAGGUUGAUGGCGAGUGGCGAACGGGUGAGUAAUGCAUCGGAACGUGCCUUUUAGUGGGGGAUAACGUAGCGAAAGUUACGCUAAUACCGCAUAUUCUCUGAGGAGGAAAGCAGGGGACCAUCGGGCCUUGCGCUAGAAGAGCGGCCGAUGUCGGAUUAGCUAGUUGGUGAGGUAAAGGCUCACCAAGGCAACGAUCCGUAGCGGGUCUGAGAGGAUGGAUCCCCCCACCGGGACUUGGGACCGGCCCAGGCUCCUACCGGGGGCCGGCGUGGGGAAUUUUGGACCAUGGGCGCAAGCCUGAUCCAGCCAUGCCGCGUGAGUGAAGAAGGCCUUCGGGUUGUAAAGCUCUUUCGGCUGGGAAGAAAUCGCACCCUCUAAUACAGGGUGUGGAUGACGGUACCAGCAUAAGAAGCACCGGCUAACUACGUG
rnacentral:rRNA from 1 species